rnacentral:rRNA from 1 species
GAAAUGCGAUAAGUAAUGUGAAUUGCAGAAUUCAGUGAAUCAUCGAAUCUUUGAACGCACCUUGCACUCCUUGGUAUUCCGAGGAGUAUGCCUGUUUGAGCGUCAUUAAAUUCUCAAAACGUUCCCUUGACUUGUCUUCUGGGGUUUGCUUUUUGGAUAUGAGGGGUUUUGUGCUGGCUCUUUAAUUUGAGCUUUAGCUCCCUUUAAAUACAUUAGUGGUUGCUUCAUUCACUUAGAGUGUGAUAGUAUAUCUGCGCUCAGAGUCGAGUGAACCUUUUCAUCUGCUUCGAACUGUCUUUUGAGACAAUUAAUUGACAAUUUUGACCUCAAAUCAGGUAGGACUACCCGCUGAACUUAA